rnacentral:rRNA from 1 species
UGCGAGUCGAGCGCCUUUCUUCGGAGAGGAGCGGCGUCCGGGUGCGUAACACGUGGGUGACCUGCCGUGACGUGGGGGAUACCCGCCCGAAAGGGUGGCUAAUACCGCAUGAGCUUUCUGAUCCUGUUUAGGAAGCAAAGCCUGCAAGGGCGCAUUACGAGGGGCCCGCGGCCUAUCAGCUUGUUGGUGGGGUAACGGCCUACCAAAGCGACGACGGGUAGCCGGUCUGAGAGGACGGACGGCCACAGUGGGACUGGGACAUGGUCCACAGCUCUACGGGGUUUAGCACGGAGGAAUCUUGCGCAACGGUCUAACGAUCGGCGCGGCAACGCCGCGUGGGGGACGACGCGUCUCGGCGUGUAAACCCCUGUUGCUCGGGAAGAAGUACCUAUGGGGAGAUCCUGUAGGGAAGACGGUACCGGGCGAGGAAGCACCGGCUAACUACGUGCCAGCAGCCGCGGUAAUACGUAGGGUGCGAGCGUUAUCCGGAUUUAUUGGGCGUAAAGGGCGCGCAGGCGGCCGUGGGCAGUAGCGCGUGGAAUCUCCCCGCUCACCGGGGAGGGGUCGCGCUAUACGACAUGGCUUGGGGCAGGCAGAGGAUCGCGGAACGGGCGGAGUAGGGGUGAAAUCCGUAGAGACCGUCCGGAACACCAGUGGCGAAGGCGGCGAUCUGGGCCUGAAGGUGGAGCAAUCCACCUGAACCCGACGCUCGGGCGCGAAAGCGUGGGGAGCGAACGGAAUUAGAUACUCCGGUAGUCCACGCCCUAAACGAUGUCGACUCGGUGUCGGGGGUAUCGACCCCCCCGGCGCCCCA